rnacentral:rRNA from 1 species
UACAGAGGGUGCGAGCGUUAAUCGGAAUUACUGGGCGUAAAGCGUGCGUAGACGGUUAUUUAAGUCGGGUGUGAAAGCCCCGGGCUCAACCUGGGAAUUGCAUUCGAGACUGAAUAGCUAGGGUACGGUAGAGGGAAGCGGAAUUUCCGGUGUAGCGGUGAAAUGCGUAGAUAUCGGAAGGAACAUCAGUGGCGAAAGCGGCUUCCUGGACCAGUACCGACGUUCAGGCACGAAAGCGUGGGGA